UUUCUUUCUGAAUAUAAGUACUAAGUUCUUUCAUCAUCGGGAUUACAAUCCUUAAAUCAUUUAUCUAUUUGUAUAUCACCAGACAUUCAAUAACUUCCUACCUUUGAUCUCUUUUUAGAAUAUGAAUUUACUAUAUAUGAACCACAAAAUUCUCGAAACUCACCUCAUAAGGUUGGUUAUAACAUUAUCAAUUAUUUGUUUAAUAUUUUAUUAGAGUUAGCACCGAUAGUGAUAAAUUAUUUUAAACCUCAAAGCCAUUUUCCUACCUUCAAUAGUGUACAUGUUCCAUCAUUCUACCUUUAAUAAUAUUUCACUUCUUUUUGUCUAACUACAUAUUCUUAAUUACUUAUUCUAAAACAUCUUUUACUUUCGUUUUAUUAUACUAGAUCCAUAAACUUAGUCUGGCUUAUUAAACAUCCUACAUAUACUAUGGUCUUACUUAUGUCCCGUCUUACACUCAUGAAUUCCCAAAGUAUAGAAGUCUUUAUCUUAAAGCUGCUGAGGUAUCACUAUUUCUACUUUUAUCAAAUCUUGUUACCCAUAAUCCCUAAUUUAUUAAACCUCUAAUUACUGACUAUCCUCAUUUAAAUCAUAUUAAUUUAUACCCUUCACGUUUCUGUAAUUGAUUCUUUUCUUAAUAUCCAAACAAUAACAGGACUAGAUCCAUCCUUACUUAUCUAAUUCAUUAGUAUUAUAUCAAUUCAAUAAUUGGACAAUUAUCUCUCCAUGUCCGAUGUCAUUCAUCAAUACACUUAAUCAUCAUAGCCCACUAUUUACAUAACAUAAGUACCUUAAUUCCCUUAUGGAGUCAUUAACUCCUUCUCAGAUCAUAGAAUCUCCCAUUAAACAAAAAUCAUUGUUUGUAAUUCACAUACCAUCGAGUGUGCAACAAUUAAUUUAAAUAUCAAAAGGCUAAAUACCAUUAAAUUUAAUUCUUACUUGUACCAUAUUAAACCAUAAGAUGUCACAAUCCACACAAUAUCCAUUACUAAAUGCAUACAGAGUAGAGUAAUUUGUCUCUUACUACGGAUCACAAUUUACUUUUCUUAUAACCACAAUAAUUUAUAUUAUUCCCUAUAUUCAUACACUUGAAAAGAAAUAGCUGAUGAAUGCUACAAUACACUUUACUCCACCAAGCAGUAAUUACUUCUCAUAAUUAAAAAUCACUUGGUAUAAUAAUUCCACCAAUAUUAUUCUUUAUGAAAAAUACUCAUCACCAAUUAUUAUAGCAAAUCACACCAAAUCCUUCAAUAUUUAAACCUUAUAAAGAUCAAUUAUGUACUUAUACUUGCACCAAUUAAUAUUCCAUCCAGAAAAAAAAUAUUUAUCUCAAUAAUUAUAAUAAAUUCCACCAACCAACAUCAGGUAAAUUUCAUCAAAUACAUAUACUGAUUCAAUACUCUAUUUAAAUAGAUUCUAAUGUCCUUGAAUCCGAAUCAUUUAGUUCUCUUGUUAAAUAAUUAGCAACUCAUCCUCAAUUCCGCAAGCACACCUAUACACACAUUCAUGCAUUCUUAAAUAUGUAUUCCACAUUCAACAC
rnacentral:lncRNA from 1 species